UGGGGAGUGGCCAAGCGGUAAGGCACCUGACUCUGGAUCAGGCGAUCGAAGGUUCGAAUCCUUCCUCCCCAG
rnacentral:tRNA from 1 species